GAUGAAGAACGCAGCGAAAUGCGAUAAGUAGUGUGAAUUGCAGAAUUCAGUGAAUCAUCGAAUCUUUGAACGCACAUUGCGCCCUCUGGUAUUCCGGAGGGCAUGCCUGUUCGAGCGUCAUUUCACCACUCAAGCCUGGCUUGGUAUUGGGCGCCGCGGUGUUCCGCGCGCCUCAAAGUCUCCGGCUGAGCUGUCCGUCUCCAAGCGUUGUGAUUUCAUUAAUCGCUUCGGAGUGCGGGCGGCCGCGGCCGUUAAAUCUUUCACAAGGUUGACCUCGGAUCAGGUAGGGAUACCCGCUGAACUUAAGCAUAUCAAUAAGCGGAGGA
rnacentral:misc_RNA from 1 species